UGGAGCAUGUGGUUUAAUUCGAUGGUACGCGAGGAACCUUACCAGGGCUUGACAUACGUUGGAAGCGCAUCGAAAGGUGCGUGCCGCUUGCGGCCGGCGCACAGGUGCUGCAUGGCUGUCGUCAGCUCGUGCUGUGAAGUGUUGGGUUAAGUCCCGCAACGAGCGCAACCCCUGCUGCCUGUUGCCACCACGAGAGGUGGGGACUCAGGCGGGACCGCCGGUGACAAACCGGAGGAAGGUGGGGACGACGUCAAGUCCUCAUGGCCUUUAUGACCAGGGCUACACACGUACUACAAUGGCCGAUACAAAGGGCAGCGACACUGCGAGGUGAAGCCAAUCCCGUAAAAUCGGUCUCAGUCCGGAUUGGAGUCUGCAACUCGACUCCAUGAAGUUGGAAUCGCUAGUAAUCGUGGAUCAGCAUGCCACGGUGAAUACGUUCCCGGGCCUU
rnacentral:rRNA from 1 species